rnacentral:rRNA from 1 species
AGACUAAACAUGCAAGUCGAGCGGUAGAGAGGUGCUUGCACCUCUUGAGAGCGGCGGACGGGUGAGUAAUACCUAGGAAUCUGCCUGAUAGUGGGGGAUAACGUUCGGAAACGGACGCUAAUACCGCAUACGUCCUACGGGAGAAAGCAGGGGACCUUCGGGCCUUGCGCUAUCAGAUGAGCCUAGGUCGGAUUAGCUAGUUGGUGAGGUAAUGGCUCACCAAGGCUACGAUCCGUAACUGGUCUGAGAGGAUGAUCAGUCACACUGGAACUGAGACACGGUCCAGACUCCUACGGGAGGCAGCAGUGGGGAAUAUUGGACAAUGGGCGAAAGCCUGAUCCAGCCAUGCCGCGUGUGUGAAGAAGGUCUUCGGAUUGUAAAGCACUUUAAGUUGGGAGGAAGGGCAGUUACUUAAUACGUGAUUGUCUUGACGUUACCGACAGAAUAAGCACCGGCUAACUCUGUGCCAGCAGCCGCGGUAAUACAGAGGGUGCAAGCGUUAAUCGGAAUUACUGGGCGUAAAGCGCGCGUAGGUGGUUUGUUAAGUUGAAUGUGAAAUCCCCGGGCUCAACCUGGGAACUGCAUCCAAAACUGGCAAGCUAGAGUAUGGUAGAGGGUAGUGGAAUUUCCUGUGUAGCGGUGAAAUGCGUAGAUAUAGGAAGGAACACCAGUGGCGAAGGCGACUACCUGGACU